rnacentral:rRNA from 1 species
UACGGAGGGUGCAAGCGUUGCUCGGAAUCAUUGGGCGUAAAGCGCGCGUAGGCGGCGCGUUAAGUCGGGUGUGAAAGCCCUGGGCUCAACCCAGGAAGUGCAUUCGAAACUGGCGCGCUUGAAUAUGGAAGAGGGUCGCGGAAUUCCCGGUGUAGAGGUGAAAUUCGUAGAUAUCGGGAGGAACACCUGCGGCGAAGGCGGGUUGCUGGGCCGACACUGACGCUGAUGCGCGAAAGCUAGGGGAGCAAACGGG